GAUGAACGCUGGCGGCGUGCCUAACACAUGCAAGUCGAACGAAGCACUGAGAAACUGAGAUUCGUCAAGGUUUUUCUUUGACUUAGUGGCGGACGGGUGAGUAAUGCGUGAGCAACCUGCCUUUCAGAGGGGGACAACAGUUGGAAACGACUGCUAAUACCGCAUGACAUAUUUAAGCGGCAUCGCUUGAAUAUCAAAGAUUUAUCGCUGAAAGAUGGGGCUCACGUCUGAUUAGUUAGUUGGUGAGGUAACGGCUCACCAAGACAGCGAUCAGUAGCCGGACUGAGAGGUUGAACGGCCACA
rnacentral:rRNA from 1 species